GAUGAACGCUGGCGGUGUGCCUAAUACAUGCAAGUCGAGCGAACAGACGAGGAGCUUGCUCCUCUGACGUUAGCGGCGGACGGGUGAGUAACACGUGGAUAACCUACCUAUAAGACUGGGAUAACUUCGGGAAACCGGAGCUAAUACCAGAUAAUAUAUUGAACCGCAUGGUUCAAUAGUGAAAGACGGUUUUGCUGUCACUUAUAGAUGGAUCCGCGCCGCAUUAGCUAGUUGGUAAGGUAACGGCUUACCAAGGCAACGAUGCGUAGCCGACCUGAGAGGGUGAUCGGCCACACUGGAACUGAGACACGGUCCAGACUCCUACGGGAGGCAGCAGUAGGGAAUCUUCCGCAAUGGGCGAAAGCCUGACGGAGCAACGCCGCGUGAGUGAUGAAGGUCUUCGGAUCGUAAAACUCUGUUAUUAGGGAAGAACAAAUGUGUAAGUAACUAUGCACGUCUUGACGGUACCUAAUCAGAAAGCCACGGCUAACUACGUG
rnacentral:rRNA from 1 species